rnacentral:sRNA from 1 species
AAAAAAAUUUUCUACCAUGUUCAAGGCCACUACGAAUGAAGAGCUCCAAUGUGCACAGCAUUUUAAAUUUGGCUGGUGGUACUCUCCAAAUUGUAUGAAAAACCCUUCAAACAAUGUUGCAGGAAAAGUUUAUUCGGAUAAUAUUCAAAAUGUCACAAUGGAAUUAGUUCAAAAUUUAAAAAAAAAAGUUGUCUAAAGUCAAGGCUAUAGAGAACUAUUUAGAAACCAUAUGCCGACCGCUGAUAAGCGACUUUUAAAUCUGAAACACCGAGUCGGAUGGA